rnacentral:lncRNA from 1 species
UUUUCAAUCAUAUCAUAGAGUAUUCUCCCCCAAACGGUUUGAAGGUUAGAGAUCCCUUGUUGUGCAUUCAAUUGCCUCCAUGGCUAAGUGGCUUAACCCCAACGAUGCCGUGGACACCCGCGGAUGGGGUGACUUUGACAUAAUCAAAGAUCAAGAACUUAACCACAAGACAACUGUGAUGCCUCAGGUCAUAGGACUACUUUGCAUUAUCCCAACCAUGAGUUCUCAUGUGACAUGAAUAU